CCUACGGGUGGCAGCAGUGGGGAAUAUUAGACAAUGGGGGAAACCCUGAUCCAGCGACGCCGCGUGUGUGAAGAAGUAUUUCGGUAUGUAAAGCUCUAUCAGCAGGAAAGAAAAUGAUGAUCCUUGACUAAGAAGCCCCGGCCAACUACGUGCCAGCAGCCGCGGGCAUACGUAGGGGGCAAGCGUAAUCCGGAUUUACUGGUUGUAACGGGAGCGUAGACGGCAGCGCAAGUCUGGAGUGAAAUGCCGGGGCCCAACCCCGGAACUGCUCUGGAAACUGGGAAGCUGGAGUGCAGGAGAGGUAAGCGGAAUUCCUGGUGUAGCGGUGAAAUGCGUAGAUAUCAGGAGGAACACAGGCGGCGAAGGCGGCUUACUGGACUGUAACUGACGUUGAGGCUCGAAGGCGUGGGGAGCAAACAGGAUUAGAUACCCGGGUAGUC
rnacentral:rRNA from 1 species